rnacentral:rRNA from 1 species
AACGAACGCUGGCGGCAUGCCUAACACAUGCAAGUCGAACGAGACCUUCGGGUCUAGUGGCGCACGGGUGCGUAACGCGUGGGAACCUGCCCUUAGGUUCGGAAUAACUCCCCGAAAGGGGUCCUAAUACCGGAUAAUGUCUUCGGACCAAAGAUUUAUCGCCUUUGGAUGGGCCCGCGUUGGAUUAGCUAGUUGGUAGGGUAAAAGCCUACCAAGGCGACGAUCCAUAGCUGGUCUGAGAGGAUGAUCAGCCACACUGGGACUGAGACACGGCCCAGACUCCUACGGGAGGCAGCAGUGGGGAAUAUUGGACAAUGGGCGAAAGCCUGAUCCAGCAAUGCCGCGUGAGUGAUGAAGGCCUUAGGGUUGUAAAGCUCUUUUACCCGGGAUGAUAAUGACAGUACCGGGGGAAUAAGCUCCGGCUAACUCCGUG